rnacentral:rRNA from 1 species
UAUUAGAGGCAUUGCCUGCCCAGUGACUAAAGUUAAACGGCCGCGGUAUCCUGACCGUGCAAAGGUAGCAUAAUCACUUGUUCCUUAAUUAGGGACUAGAAUGAAUGGCUAAACGAGGGUUCAACUGUCUCUUACUUUCAAUCAGUGAAAUUGACCUUCCAGUGAAGAGGCUGGAAUCUCCCAAUAAGACGAGAAGACCCUAUGGAGCUUUAAUUUACUAGUUCAACUUAUAUAAAAACAACCUAAUGGGCUAAAACAAAAUAAAUAUGAACUAAAAAAUUUCGGUUGGGGUGACCUCGGAGAAUAAAAAAUCCUCCGAAUGAUUUUAACCUAGACUCACAAGUCAAAGUAAUACUAAUAUCUUAUUGACCCAAUUAUUGAUCAACGGACCAAGUUACCCUAGGGAUAACAGCGCAAUCCUAUUUAAGAGUUCAUAUCGACAAUUAGGGUUUACGACCUCGAUGUUGGAUCAGGACAUCCCAAUGGUGCAGAAGCUAUUAAUGGUUCGUUUGUUCAACGAUUAAAGUCCUACGUGAU